AGCCCUACCCGCACUGUCUUCCUUCCCACCCAAGUCACCCUGGUUCCAGGACCAAGAGACAGAGAGAUACGCUCAGCUGGUUUCGGGCAGGAUUUAUUGGAAAAGGCCAUAGCAUGCCUCCUAACUGAGCCCUUGAGACAGGGCUCCCCUGUCCCAGCUGUCUGAACCUCUCCUAAUGUCUCUCACCAUUUCCGCUUCUCCUAUAUCCUCCCACCUUGCAGAUCCCCAGCAACAUGAGGCCUUCUUGGUCUAUGAGAAGCCACCCUCCCAUCCUCAGCCAGAGCCUCCUCCACAGACGGCUCCAGAGAUGUUCCCUGCUGUAUUAGUCUGUUCUCGCACUGCUGUAAAGAACUACCUGAGAUUGGGAUUUCAGACAAAAAUCAGGAAUCGUCACCAGCCAAGACUGUGUUCUGACCAUGUGACGUCUUCCAGGCACCAGGAAGAAAUAUGACCAAUCUCCGUAACAAAUGAGAGAAGCUUCACCUGACUGUGUUCUGUGUAUUUGGUUUAUUAGUCUUUUUAAAAACGUGUACUUGUACUGCUGGGUUCAGGUUUUCAACCAUAGAAUAUUCUAGAAAAAAUAGUGAUAACGUUUAUUUCACCGCUCUAACCCUGAAUGUGCAGCUGUGUUUUUCCAAAAAACAUUUUUUUUUACAAUUGUAGAAUAUGUAACAUGCAUCCAGAAAUGUGCCCUAAACACAAACAUAUGAUUUGGCAAAUAAUUACAUAGCAAGUCCCACGUUACUGUCAUCUCAUCUAGAAAUCAUUGUCCUUCCAGAAGCCCCUCACGUGCUCUGGCCAUCCCAAAUCCCUCCCUGCCCCAGGGAUAAAUAAUAUUCCAUUUUGUUUAUUAACCAACUAUGAAUUUCUCAACACAGUAGAUUUGAUUAUGUUUGACUCUUAUAUGAAUGCAAUCC
rnacentral:lncRNA from 1 species